rnacentral:rRNA from 2 species
GCAUAUCAAUAAGCGGGGGGAAAGAAACUAACAAGGAUUCCCCUAGUAACUGCGAGUGAAGCGGGAAAAGCUCAAAUUUAAAAUCUGGCGGUCUUUGAUCGUCCGAGUUGUAGUCUGGAGAAGUGCUUUCCGCGCUGGACCGUGUACAAGUCUCUUGGAACAGAGCGUCAUAGAGGGUGAGAAUCCCGUCUUUGACACGGACUACCAGUGCUUUGUGAUGCGCUCUCAAAGAGUCGAGUUGUUUGGGAAUGCAGCUCAAAAUGGGUGGUAAAUUCCAUCUAAAGCUAAAUAUUGGCGAGAGACCGAUAGCGAACAAGUACCGUGAGGAAAGAUGAAAGCACUUGGAAAGAGAGAGUUAAACAGUCCGUGAAAUUGCUGAAAGGGAACGAUUGAAUAAGCCCGUUGGCCGGAACUCAGCCUGGCUUUGCUGGUGCAUUUUCUGUGACGGGCCAGCAUCGAUUUCGGUUGUUGGAUAAAGAUUGAGGGAAUGUGGCACCUUCGGGUGUGUUAUAGCCUUAAGUCACAUACAACGGCUGGAUCGAGGACCGCAGCACGCCUUUAUGGCCGGGGUUCGCCCACGUCCGUGCUUAGGAUGCUGGCAUAAUGGCUUUAAACGACCCGUCUUGAAACACGGACCAAGGAGUCUAACAAACCCGCGAGUGUUUGGGUGGAAAACCCGAGCGCGUAAUGAAAGUGAAAGUUGAGAUCCCUGUCAUGGGGAGCAUCGACGCCCGGACCUGACCUUCUGUGACGGAUCUGCGGUAGAGCGUGUUUGUUGGGACCCGAAAGAUGGUGAACUAUGCCUGAAUAGGGUGAAGCCAGAGGAAACUCUGGUGGAGGCUCGUAGCGAUUCUGACGUGCAAAUCGAUCGUCAAAUUUGGUAUAGGGCGAAAGACUAUCGAACCAUCUA